rnacentral:tRNA from 1 species
GCCGGGGUGGCUGAGUGGUAAAGCGCCGGCCUCGAAAGCCGGUUCCCCUUUGGGGUAUAAGGGUUCGAAUCCCUUCCCCGGCG